rnacentral:rRNA from 1 species
UUAAGUCGGAUGUGAAAUCCCUGAGCUUAACUUAGGAAUUGCAUUCGAUACUGGGAAGCUAGAGUAUGGGAGAGGAUGGUAGAAUUCCAGGUGUAGCGGUGAAAUGCGUAGAGAUCUGGAGGAAUACCGAUGGCGAAGGCAGCCAUCUGGCCUAAUACUGACGCUGAGGUACGAAAGCAUGGGGAGCAAACAGGAUUAGAUACCCUGGUAGUCCAUGCCGUAAACGAUGUCUACUAGCCGUUGGGGCCUUUGAGGCUUUAGUGGCGCAGCUAACGCGAUAAGUAGACCGCCUGGGGAGUACGGUCGCAAGACUAAAACUCAAAUGAAUUGACGGGGGCCCGCACAAGCGGUGGAGCAUGUGGUUUAAUUCGAUGCAACGCGAAGAACCUUACCUGGUCUUGACAUAGUAAGAACUUUCCAGAGAUGGAUUGGUGCCUUCGGGAGCUUACAUACAGGUGCUGCAUGGCUGUCGUCAGCUCGUGUCGUGAGAUGUUGGGUUAAGUCCCGCAACGAGCGCAACCCUUUUCCUUAUUUGCCAGCGGGUUAAGCCGGGAACUUUAAGGAUACUGCCAGUGACAAACUGGAGGAAGGCGGGGACGACGUCAAGUCAUCAUGGCCCUUACGACCAGGGUAC